rnacentral:rRNA from 1 species
UACGUAGGGGGCAAGCGUUGUCCGGAAUCAUUGGGCGUAAAGAGCGUGUAGGCGGCCCGGUAAGUCCGCUGUGAAAGUCCAGGGCUCAACCCUGGGAUGCCGGUGGAUACUGUCGGGCUCGAGUCCGGAAGAGGCGAGUGGAAUUCCUGGUGUAGCGGUGAAAUGCGCAGAUAUCAGGAGGAACACCAAUGGCGAAGGCAGCUCGCUGGGACGUGACUGACACUGAGGCGCGAAAGCGUGGGGAGCGAACAGG